ACACGUAGGAGGCGAAACGUUAUCCGGAUUUACUGGGCGUAAAGCGCGUGUAGGUGGUUCUGUAAGUAGGGCGUGAAAGCUCCUGGCUCAACUGGGAGAGGCCGUUCUAAACUGCAGAGCUAGAGGAUGGUAGAGGGAGGUGGAAUUCCGGGUGUAGCGGUGGAAUGCGCAGAUAUCCGGAGGAACACCAGUGGCGAAGGCGGCCUCCUGGACCAUUCCUGACACUCAGACGCGAAAGCUAGGGUAGC
rnacentral:rRNA from 1 species